rnacentral:rRNA from 1 species
AUGAACGCUGGCGGCGUGCCUAAUACAUGCAAGUCGAGCGAACGGACGAGAAGCUUGCUUCUCUGAUGUUAGCGGCGGACGGGUGAGUAACACGUGGAUAACCUACCUAUAAGACUGGGAUAACUUCGGGAAACCGUAGCUAAUACCGGAUAAUAUUUUGAACCGCAUGGUUCAAAAGUGAAAGACGGUCUUGCUGUCACUUAUAGAUGGAUCCGCGCUGCAUUAGCUAGUUGGUAAGGUAACGGCUUACCAAGGCAACGAUGCAUAGCCGACCUGAGAGGGGGAACGGCAAAAAUGGAACUGAGACACGGUCCAGACUCCUAGGGGAGGCAGCAGUAGGGAAUCUUCCGCAAGGGGCGAAAGCCUGACGGAGAAACGCCGGGGGAGUGAUGAAGGUCUUCGGAUCGUAAAACUCUGUUAUUAGGGAAGAAAAUAGGUGAAAGUAACUGGGCACAUCUUGACGGUACCUAAAAAAAAAGCCACGGCAAACUACGU